UUUUUGAUGGCAGAUUUAAUUGCUAUAGAUUGUAAAUCUUUUUAUGAAAAAUUUUUUCUCAAAAUA
rnacentral:tRNA from 1 species